GGGUUGUGAGGUUAAGCGACUAAGCGUACACGGUGGAUGCCCUGGCAGUCAGAGGCGAUGAAGGGCGUGCUAAUCUGCGAUAAGCGCCGGUAAGGUGAUAUGAACCGUUAUAACCGGCGAUACCCGAAUGGGGAAACCCAGUGUGAUUCGUCACACUAUCAUUACGUGAAUACAUAGCGUAAUGAAGCGAACCGGGGGAACUGAAACAUCUAAGUACCCCGAGGAAAAGAAAUCAACCGAGAUUCCCCCAGUAGCGGCGAGCGAACGGGGAGGAGCCCAGAGCCUGAAUCAGCAUGUGUGUUAGUGGAAGCGUCUGGAAAGGCGCGCGAUACAGGGUGACAGCCCCGUACACAAAAGCGCAUGUGUUGUGAGCUCGAUGAGUAGGGCGGGACACGUGGUAUCCUGUCUGAAUAUGGGGGGACCAUCCUCCAAGGCUAAAUACUCCUGACUGACCGAUAGUGAACCAGUACCGUGAGGGAAAGGCGAAAAGAACCCCGGCGAGGGGAGUGAAAAAGAACCUGAAACCGUGUACGUACAAGCAGUGGGAGCACCCUUUGGGGUGUGACUGCGUACCUUUUGUAUAAUGGGUCAGCGACUUAUAUUCUGUAGCAAGGUUAACCGAAUAGGGGAGCCGGAGGGAAACCGAGUCUUAAUUGGGCGUUAAGUUGCAGGGUAUAGACCCGAAACCCGGUGAUCUAGCCAUGGGCAGGUUGAAGGUUGGGUAACACUAACUGGAGGACCGAACCGACUAAUGUUGAAAAAUUAGCGGAUGACCUGUGGCUGGGGGUGAAAGGCCAAUCAAACCGGGAGAUAGCUGGUUCUCCCCGAAAGCUAUUUAGGUAGCGCCUCGUGAAUUCAUCUCCGGGGGUAGAGCACUGUUUCGGCUAGGGGGCCAUCCCGGCUUACCAACCCGAUGCAAACUGCGAAUACCGGAGAAUGUUAUCACGGGAGACACACGGCGGGUGCUAACGUCCGUCGUGAAGAGGGAAACAACCCAGACCGCCAGCUAAGGUCCCAAAGUCAUAGUUAAGUGGGAAACGAUGUGGGAAGGCCCAGACAGCCAGGAUGUUGGCUUAGAAGCAGCCAUCAUUUAAAGAAAGCGUAAUAGCUCACUGGUCGAGUCGGCCUGCGCGGAAGAUGUAACGGGGCUAAAC
rnacentral:rRNA from 1 species